rnacentral:rRNA from 1 species
CCUACGGGUGGCAGCAGUGGGGAAUAUUGGACAAUGGGGGGAACCCUGAUCCAGCGACGCCGCGUGAGUGAAGAAGUAUUUCGGUAUGUAAAGCUCUAUCAGCAGGGAAGAAAAUGACGGUACCUGACUAAGAAGCCCCGGCUAACUACGUGCCAGCAGCCGCGGUAAUACGUAGGGGGCAAGCGUUAUCCGGAUUUACUGGGUGUAAAGGGAGCGUAGACGGUGCAGCAAGUCUGGUGUUAAAGGUCGGGGCCCAACCCCGGGAAUGAAUUGGAAACUGUUGAACUGGAGAGCAGGAGGGGAAAGCGGAAUUCCUGGUGUAGCGGUGAAAUGCGUAGAUAUUAGGAGGAACACCGGGGGCGAAGGCGGCUUACUGGACUGUAACUGACGUUGAGGCUCGAAAGCGUGGGGAGCAAACAGGAUUAGAUACCCGUGUAGUC